rnacentral:rRNA from 1 species
UGCGAAACUCGAAUGAACGAACGGGGAGAUUCAUCGUUAUUCCGCGGCGUGGAGGCGCACUCUCGAUGCUGCACAAUUUCGGUUGUGCCGGUACGGGGUGCGUCUUUUCGACGUUCACGGACGGCGUGCACUUCUCCCUUAGUACUGCAUCGCGACCCGUUCGAUGUCGGCCUAAGCUCCGUUCGGGAGUCACUGUUUCACAUCUAACCGUGUGAUGCGGUGACCGUGACGGUCGCCGGCCGGCUGUCGGACGGUAUUCAUUAGGUACGCGUACGCGUUUAUGCGCGUCCGGCCCGACGCAAGGUUAUAAAGCUACGUUCACCCCCGUCCUGCCCGUGCGCGUGCGGGGGUGCGGAGCGCCUGUUGUCGCAGCCGUGCUGUCUCGGACUGUACGCGUUCCGUGUCUGC